GAUGAACGCUGGCGGCGUGCUUAACACAUGCCAGUCGAACGAUGAAGCCCAGCUUGCUGGGUGGAUUAGUGGCGAACGGGUGAGUAACACGUGAGUAACCUGCCCUUAACUCUGGGAUAAGCCUGGGAAACUGGGUCUAAUACCGGAUAGGAGCGUCCACCGCAUGGUGGGUGUUGGAAAGAUUUAUCGGUUUUGGAUGGACUCGCGGCCUAUCAGCUGUUGGUGAGGUAAUGGCUCACCAAGGCGACGACGGGUAGCCGGCCUGAGAGGGUGACCGGCCACACUGGGACUGAGACACGGCCCAGACUCCUACGGAGGCAGCAGUGGGGAAUAUUGCACAAUGGGCGAAAGCCUGAUGCAGCGACGCCGCGUGAGGGAUGACGGCCUUCGGGUUGUAAACCUCUUUCAGUAGGGAAGAAGCGAAAGUGACGGUACCUGCAGAAGAAGCACCGGCUAACUACGUG
rnacentral:rRNA from 1 species